AAAUGCGGCCCUCAAAUGCGUCCUUAAUUUCCCUGAAUUUUAAGGAUGGGUCGGUGUAGCCUUCAUGGCCCAACAUAUCCCAGAUUUCAUAGCGCGGCGGUGGUGUGGAUAAUUUUGCCGAAAAAAACGGCGGAAGCGGAGCCGCCAAAGAGUAAACUUUCAGAACUUAUCACACAUUUGAUUUCCAUGUGUGACAA